rnacentral:rRNA from 1 species
UACGUAGGUGGCGAGCGUUAUCCGGAUUUACUGGGUGUAAAGGGUGCGUAGGCGGCUUUUUAAGUCAGCGGUGAAAUUUUGCAGCUUAACUGUAACAGUGCCGUUGAUACUGGGGAGCUAGGAUUUGGUUGCUGUGGGUGGAAUGUGUGGUGUAGCGGUGAAAUGCUUAGAGAUCACACAGAAUAUCGAUUGCGAAGGCAGCUCACAAAGCCAAGAUUGACGCUGAGGCACGAAAGUGUGGGGAUCAAACAGGAUUA